ACUGUUAUGGACAGAUGAAUUAAAAUAAAAUGGCUAUUUACUAAUGUCUAUUUAUUCUGUGUUCACUAUGUUAAAACUGGCUGCUAGAGUAAAUAUUCCCUUCGCCCCCUACAAUGUGUUCAGUUGCUGUUUACUAUGUAAAUUCUUCAUCCUGAUAAGCAUCCCCCUUCAAAACAAGCAAACCUUGUGUAAACAAAAUUCCUGUGUUAACAGCUCCCUUUACUAACUCCUCCCCCACUACCUUUGUGCCAGUUAAACAGCUAUAUGCCACGUAUAGCUAAAUGGAGGAUCAUUGGUUUAGAACUGAUAGAUACCACUCACUCCCCCUCCCAUCGUGUAUCCAAAAGUGUGUAAUGAUGACACUACAUUCUGUAGGGGGGUUUAAACAAGAGGCCCCUUUCUCUGUUAACCAAUUGGUGAAUGUAUACUGUAUGUUUAAACUGUGACGUAUUUUUGCUUUAAGAAGGAGCCCCCACUCCGGGGAAUAAAGCAUUCCUGGGUUUUUCACUGAUCAGAAACUUUGUCUCCGGUGUGAAUUACUUCUAGGGAAAGCGUGCACGCAUUAAUUAAUCAAUUUGGAAGGUGUAGAUAGACAAAUAAUCAAAGUUUUCUUUGAUCCAAAACAAUUUGGUGGAGAAUGCGGGCAUUUAAGGGAUACGUUACUAAGGCAGCCGUCAGAUCCCAAGACAGGAGAGCAAAGGAUUCCCAGAGAUUGGAAACGGAGCCUGAUCACCUCUGCAUAUGGUAAAUGA